UGAUUAUAUAAUGAUAUGCAAAUGUGCUAAGAUAAGGUCCGUUGACUUUGGCUGGAUCUUGUACUUGACCUUGAGGGGAUAUUGACCACAACAUGCUUCAAAGUGCUGCAAAGAUGCAUAUUUUUGUAGGCCAACCUAGAAGUUAACAUCACCAUGGUUUCAUCAGCACAAACCCAACAGGAUUUUUUCCAUUAGCUUUUGGUUUAUUGCAGAUAAUAGGCUCAGUGACCAACAAAAGUUUAAGAUUCUUACUCAUUUUUUUCAUCAUGAUAAUCUUCACACAUGAAUAAUUGAACUGUUUCGAUCUUAAUUUAAAAGCAUUUUCCCUUAAAGUUUUAGUUAGAAUAGUUUGCAAGAGCAUGAUAAUAAACACAACGAGACUGUGAAAGAGGAGUAGUAAGUUGAAUUUACCUGUUCGACGUAAUGAUUUAUAAUGUCACCCAUAACCUCUGUAGUUCCUUUUAGCUACUUGCUUAACCUUUUUGGAAGUGAACACGAGUGCUAAAAUGCUAACUCAUUUCUGGGAUUUGACCUACAAAAAUAUGUUAACCCUGCAUUAAUUUUCUCUAUAGUCUUAACUUCUAUAUACAAGUAUUCAGGAUAUUCUUCAAAAAUGCACCCUGAACUGGACCAGCAUUAUUGUAUUGGAAUCCCAGAGACUCUAGUGCAGUGCUUCCUAGAGUUCAGGCAUUCCUCCCGCAGGCUUAAGUCACCAUUCACCUUAUCCAGUUCCACUCCUGGCACACCAGUAAAUAGAUAGCUGGCCAUAUUUAAAUAUAGACUACAUGCAGCAGUGAGUUAGUGGACCACAAGAUACUGCGUCUCAGCUGUGUAGUCUGCCGUGAAUCCAACUGUGAAUUCCUGUUUUGGCUGAAGACACUAUCAUUGCCCAUGAGGUUCCCAGAACCGUUGCCUGAUCACCGACACUGAUGAGACGGCCUACAGAGAGGAGGUGAGCACCCUGACUAAAUGGUGUCAGGAGAGCCACCUCUCACUCAACAUUGACAAGACCAAGGAGCUGGUGGUGGAUUUCAGGAGACAGAGCAGAGAACACACGCCCAUCACCAUCGACAAGACACCUGUGGAGCGGGUAAACAGCUUUAAGUUCCUCAGCCUUAACAUCAGUAAGGAUCUCACCUGGUCUACACACACUGAUGCAGUGCUGAAGAAAGCACAUCAACGCCUCUUCUUCCCGA
ensembl:lncRNA